GCUGACUUCAGCUGUACAUAUAAUUGGCAUAAUACAGAGAAGAUUAGUAUGGCCCCUGCCCAAGGAUAACACGCAAAUUCGUGAAGCAUUAUAUAUUUUA
rnacentral:snRNA from 1 species